rnacentral:rRNA from 1 species
GAUGAACGCUGGCGGCGUGCUUAACACAUGCAAGUCGAACGAAGCAUUUCGGUCUUAAUCUUCGGAAGCAGACUGAUCUGACUGAGUGGCGGACGGGUGAGUAACGCGUGGGUAAACUGCCCUGUACAGGGGGCUAACAGUUAGAAAUGACUGCUAACACCGCAUAAGCGCACAGUAAGGCAUCUUUCGGUGCGAACAUAUGUAUAGGUACAGGAUGGGCCCGCGUCUGAUUAGCCAGUUGGCAGGGUAACGGCCUACCAAAGCAACGAUCAGUAGCCGGCUUGAGAGAGUGAACGGCCACAUUGGGACUGAGACACGGCCCAAACUCCUACGGGAGGCAGCAGUGGGGAAUAUUGCACAAUGGGGGAAACCCUGAUGCAGCGACGCCGCGUGAGUGAAGAAGUAUUUCGGUAUGUAAAGCUCUAUCAGCAGGGAAGAAAAUGACGGUACCUGACUAAGAAGCCCCGGCUAACUACGUGCCAGCCGCCGCCGUAA